GCCAGGCACAGUGGCACGUGCCUGUAGUCCCAGUUACUCAGGAGGCUGAGGUGGGAGGAUCGCUUGAGCCCAGGAGUUCUGGGCUGUAGUGCGCUAUGCCGAUCAGGUGACCGCACUAAGUUCAGCAUCAAUAUGGUGACCUCCCAGGAGCCGGGGGACCACCAGGUUGCCUAAGGAGGGGUGAACCGGCCCAGGUUGGAAAUGGAGCAGGUCAAAACUCCCGUGCUGAUCAGUAGUGGGAUCGCGCCUGUGAAUAGCUACUGCACUCCAGCCUGGGCAACAUAGAGAGACCCUGUCUCU
rnacentral:SRP_RNA from 1 species